rfam:Sphingomonas sp. SCN 67-18 ABS87_C0014, whole genome shotgun sequence.
GAGAGCCGGAUGCUGGGAAACCCGCACGUCCGGUUCGGCGAGAGGGAUGGUAAAACCAGCCUCGGUGACGGGGUAUGGCGUACCAUCCCUACUCUCC